rnacentral:rRNA from 1 species
CCUACGGGAGGCAGCAGUGGGGGAUAUUGGACAAUGGGGGGAACCCUGAUCCAGCGACGCCGCGUGAGUGAAGAAGUAUUUCGGUAUGUAAAGCUCUGUCAGCAGGGAAGAAAGCAAUGACGGUACCUGACCAAGAAGCCCCGGCUAACUACGUGCCAGCAGCCGCGGGAAUACGUAGGGGGCAAGCGUUAUCCGGAAUUACUGGGUGUAAAGGGCGCGUAGACGGCUGUGCAAGUCUGGGAGGAAAGGCGGGGGCCCAACCCCCGGACUGCUCUGGAUACUGUAUGGCUGGAGUGAAGGAGAGGUAAGCGGAAUUCCUAGUGAAGCGGUGAAAUGCGUAGAUAUUAGGAGGAACAUCAGUGGCGAAGGCGACUAUCUGGCACAUAACUGACGCUGAGGAGCGAAAGCGUGGGUAGCAAACAGGAUUAGAUACCCGAGUAGUC